UUAAGUUAUUAAGGGCGCACGGUGGAUGCCUUGGCACUAGAAGCCGAUGAAGGACGUUACUAACGACGAUAUGCUUUGGGGAGCUGUAAGUAAGCUUUGAUCCAGAGAUUUCCGAAUGGGGAAACCCAGCAUGAGUUAUGUCAUGUUAUCGAUAUGUGAAUACAUAGCAUAUCAGAAGGCACACCCGGAGAACUGAAACAUCUUAGUACCCGGAGGAAGAGAAAGAAAAUUCGAUUCCCUUAGUAGCGGCGAGCGAAACGGGAAGAGCCCAAACCAACAAGCUUGCUUGUUGGGGUUGUAGGACACUCUAUACGGAGUUACAAAGGACGACAUUAGACGAAUCAUCUGGAAAGAUGAAUCAAAGAAGGUAAUAAUCCUGUAGUCGAAAAUGUUGUCUCUCUUGAGUGGAUCCUGAGUACGACGGAGCACGUGAAAUUCCGUCGGAAUCUGGGAGGACCAUCUCCUAAGGCUAAAUACUCUCUAGUGACCGAUAGUGAACCAGUACCGUGAGGGAAAGGUGAAAAGCACCCCGGAAGGGGAGUGAAAUAGAACCUGAAACCGUGUGCUUACAAGUAGUCAGAGCCCGUUAAUGGGUGAUGGCGUGCCUUUUGUAGAAUGAACCGGCGAGUUACGAUUUGAUGCAAGGUUAAGCAGUAAAUGUGGAGCCGUAGCGAAAGCGAGUCUGAAUAGGGCGUUUAGUAUUUGGUCGUAGACCCGAAACCAGGUGAUCUACCCUUGGUCAGGUUGAAGUUCAGGUAACACUGAAUGGAGGACCGAACCGACUUACGUUGAAAAGUGAGCGGAUGAACUGAGGGUAGCGGAGAAAUUCCAAUCGAACCUGGAGAUAGCUGGUUCUCUCCGAAAUAGCUUUAGGGCUAGCCUCAAGUGAUGAUUAUUGGAGGUAGAGCACUGUUUGGACGAGGGGCCCCUCUCGGGUUACCGAAUUCAGACAAACUCCGAAUGCCAAUUAAUUUAACUUGGGAGUCAGAACAUGGGUGAUAAGGUCCGUGUUCGAAAGGGAAACAGCCCAGACCACCAGCUAAGGUCCCAAAAUAUAUGUUAAGUGGAAAAGGAUGUGGCGUUGCCCAGACAACUAGGAUGUUGGCUUAGAAGCAGCCAUCAUUUAAAGAGUGCGUAAUAGCUCACUAGUCGAGUGACACUGCGCCGAAAAUGUACCGGGGCUAAACAUAUUACCGAAGCUGUGGAUUGUCCUUUGGACAAUGGUAGGAGAGCGUUCUAAGGGCGUUGAAGCAUGAUCGUAAGGACAUGUGGAGCGCUUAGAAGUGAGAAUGCCGGUGUGAGUAGCGAAAGACGGGUGAGAAUCCCGUCCACCGAUUGACUAAGGUUUCCAGAGGAAGGCUCGUCCGCUCUGGGUUAGUCGGGUCCUAAGCUGAGGCCGACAGGCGUAGGCGAUGGAUAACAGGUUGAUAUUCCUGUACCACCUAUAAUCGUUUUAAUCGAUGGGGGGACGCAGUAGGAUAGGCGAAGCGUGCGAUUGGAUUGCACGUCUAAGCAGUAAGGCUGAGUAUUAGGCAAAUCCGGUACUCGUUAAGGCUGAGNNNNNNNNGGGAGAAGACAUUGUGUCUUCGAGUCGUUGAUUUCACACUGCCGAGAAAAGCCUCUAGAUAGAAAAUAGGUGCCCGUACCGCAAACCGACACAGGUAGUCAAGAUGAGAAUUCUAAGGUGAGCGAGCGAACUCUCGUUAAGGAACUCGGCAAAAUGACCCCGUAACUUCGGGAGAAGGGGUGCUCUUUAGGGUUAACGCCCAGAAGAGCCGCAGUGAAUAGGCCCAAGCGACUGUUUAUCAAAAACACAGGUCUCUGCUAAACCGUAAGGUGAUGUAUAGGGGCUGACGCCUGCCCGGUGCUGGAAGGUUAAGAGGAGUGGUUAGCUUCUGCGAAGCUACGAAUCGAAGCCCCAGUAAACGGCGGCCGUAACUAUAACGGUCCUAAGGUAGCGAAAUUCCUUGUCGGGUAAGUUCCGACCCGCACGAAAGGCGUAACGAUUUGGGCACUGUCUCAACGAGAGACUCGGUGAAAUCAUAGUACCUGUGAAGAUGCAGGUUACCCGCGACAGGACGGNAAGACCCCGUGGAGCUUUACUGUAGCCUGAUAUUGAAAUUCGGCACAGCUUGUACAGGAUAGGUAGGAGCCUUUGAAACGUGAGCGCUAGCUUACGUGGAGGCGCUGGUGGGAUACUACCCUAGCUGUGUUGGCUUUCUAACCCGCACCACUUAUCGUGGUGGGAGACAGUGUCAGGCGGGCAGUUUGACUGGGGCGGUCGCCUCCUAAAAGGUAACGGAGGCGCUCAAAGGUUCCCUCAGAAUGGUUGGAAAUCAUUCAUAGAGUGUAAAGGCAUAAGGGAGCUUGACUGCGAGACCUACAAGUCGAGCAGGGUCGAAAGACGGACUUAGUGAUCCGGUGGUUCCGCAUGGAAGGGCCAUCGCUCAACGGAUAAAAGCUACCCCGGGGAUAACAGGCUUAUCUCCCCCAAGAGUUCACAUCGACGGGGAGGUUUGGCACCUCGAUGUCGGCUCAUCGCAUCCUGGGGCUGUAGUCGGUCCCAAGGGUUGGGCUGUUCGCCCAUUAAAGCGGUACGCGAGCUGGGUUCAGAACGUCGUGAGACAGUUCGGUCCCUAUCCGUCGUGGGCGUAGGAAAUUUGAGAGGAGCUGUCCUUAGUACGAGAGGACCGGGAUGGACAUACCUCUGGUGUACCAGUUGUCGUGCCAACGGCAUAGCUGGGUAGCUAUGUGUGGACGGGAUAAGUGCUGAAAGCAUCUAAGCAUGAAGCCCCCCUCAAGAUGAGAUUUCCCAACUUCGGUUAUAAGAUCCCUCAAAGAUGAUGAGGUUAAUAGGUUCGAGGUGGAAGCAUGGUGACAUGUGGAGCUGACGAAUACUAAUCGAUCGAAGACUUAAUCAA
rnacentral:rRNA from 1 species